rnacentral:lncRNA from 1 species
CAGAGAGAGGAGGAGCUGUGCCUGGGCAAAUGGAUAAUGAUUUCAGUUGACUCACUUUUAGAAGGAACAAGAUCAACAACAACACUUUGCCUCUUCAGAUUAUCAGGCAAUGUGAGUAACAUUUUCAGAGAAUCUCUCUGCCCUAGAACUUUAAAAAAAGAAGCUUAAAAGAAAAUCCCACAAAAACGAAUGUGUGCUUCUAGAAGAAGAAGUUUCACUGUGGUAGAGAUCAUUGUUAAACAAUAAUAAUAACAACAGUUACUACAGUACAUGGGACAGACAACACAUAUAUAAUGGCAAUAUAAAAAGAGACAAUAUCGGAGAAAGUGAGGAGCUUAUAAUGGUAGCUAAGAAUUAUUUAGCACCUAAUGAAUGUUUUUAUGCUCAUUACUUUAUUUUUCACACAAUGAAUUAAAAAAAAUAAGAGGCAAAUAGUAGAGCUGAAGUUUGAAACAAAAGCAGUCUGGUUCCAGGGCCCAUCCUCUUUACUAUAUUAUAUCAUCCUGUCCUAUCCUACACUGUAUUAUAUAUACUGUUCCAUACUGUAUAAUAUAAUAUAAUAUUGCCUCUUCUGCACAUUGAGGUUUUCUGUGGACCUGUACUUAUGUGUAUAUAUAUAUAUCCUUCAUCAGUUUGCAGUCUCCAUAAAAAUAGGGACUGAGUCUGUCUAGUUUACUACUGAGUUCUCAGAAGCCCAAUGCUCCACAAAUAGGUGUCCAGAAAUAUUUGUUGAUUGACCAGUGUCAACAAGCAAAACUGAAACAAAUUAGGCAGUUUGGCCUUAAAUAGUAAAGGAGGAGUUUUUCCUUUGACAAACUCAAAUCCCCUUCGUUUUCUACUAUUGUGCACCAUAACUUAAAGCAAGAUCAAUAAGGACAUUUUAGCAAUAGCAAGCAGAAGGCAGCAGACUCAGAUGAGAAAAAAUGAGAGAAAAUUUUCUCAAAGUCUUUUGCUGUAAUGCCUAUAAGUUUCUUAAAAGGCUUGGUAUGUAGCUCUGUGCAUGGCAGAAGUUUAAACUUGAGGAAAGGCUCCCUGAAUCCUGAAAAUCUCUUCCAUUUUAAUUACAAUUUUAUUCCUAAAAGUAUAAUCAACUAGACUAAGAUAUGAAGUAUAUGUUUCUUUAGGAUCUUAGUUCUCAUAUCCUUAUCCUAAAGAAGGUGUACAACACAGAUGCAAACAACAAAUAAAUGUUCUUUAUAGGCUUUGUGUUUAGGAUGCCACUGUGUGAGAUCCACAUUAUUCCCCAAACGUUCCAAAAUUUCACUAACUGACGGGUAUGAAUGAAGUCAGUUGUAUCAGUACUCAAGUUUUUCAUUUCUAAACUCAUGCAAGAGUUUCAAUACCUUUCAAAAUUCCACCCUCUCACCAAUAUUUUUGGAAAUCUUGAAUAGUUUCUUACAUAAGUUCUUGAAUUAAUAUGUCUCUAUCAUGUCAUUUCAUUUGCACUUCUUCUGCAUUCGCUCAGGCCCCUGCUGAUUCACCCCAGUUCUGGUACUCUUAAUCUUCAUAGUGCUAUAAAACUUGGCAGUCUCCUGGGAGGUAAAAAAAAAAUACAUAUAUAAUGCUCAGUUGGUUAGUUUGGGAGUUGUUUAGAUCUUGAAAUGUUAAGCUAUUUACGGAGAAAUCCACUUUCUAUUCACACUCGUGAUCCGUUUUCUCCUUGGAAUAUAUAUUGCCACUGAGAUAGCCAGACUGGGAUGAAAUUUCUUUAUCAGCCAUCUCACUAUAUCUUUGCUGUCAUCUAAUCCUCAAACCCUGUUGUGAAAUUGCCAUUCCAGAUUCUUUCUUCCCUGGGUAUGAAUUCUUUCUUAAGGUCUUUGCCAACUAACUGUGCCAUCUGGCAGUCUUACUUUCUCCCUCUCCCAUUCCAGGCCCAAAAAUAUGUCUAUGUAUAUAAAUAAGAAUUCCUCUCACCAUGUUGUGAAUCAAUCCUCAUGUAAAUCAGUGAAUACAAAUAAUGGGUAGGAUGCCAUCUAACUCCAUAUGACAGUCACAUCUGACUCUGAGCCUUGGCCCAAUGGUGACCUCACCUUUAAGUUACUGUAAUUGGUUUUGUUCCCAAGUUCCAUAUGUCUGUCAGUAGAUAGGGCUUCCAUGGAGAUUACACUCACUUAUUCACUGGAAUUCUCUUUUUCUUUGGAAGUAAAGUUUGGGGACUGUAUUAGUCAGGGUUCUCCAGAGAAACAGAACCAAUAGAAAUAUAUAAAUAGAUACUCACAUGUAGGAUAUAUUUCCAAAUAUAUAAACUUAUCAUAAGGAAUUGGCUUAUGCAAUGUGGAGGUUGAGAAAUCACAAAACCUGCAGUUGGGAAGCUGGAGACCCGGGAGAACCAAGGAUGUAGUACCAGUCCAGAUGUCACCUCAUGCCAGACCCAGGAAGAGCAACCAUUUCAGUUAAGUCUAAAGGCAAGAAAAAACUGAUGUCCCAGCUUGAAGACAGUCUGUUAGGAGAAGUUCCCUCUGAGGCAAGGGAGAGUCAGAAUUUAUUCUAUUCAGGCCUUCAGCUGAUUGAAUGAAGUUCACCCACAUUAGGGAAGGCAAUCUGCUUUACUCAGUCUACAGAUUUAAAUGUUCAUCUCAUUCAAAAAUGCCCUCACAGACACCCAGAAUAAUGUUUGAGCAAAUAUCUGGGCAACUCCUGGUCCAGUUAAGUUGAUACAUAAAGUGAACCAAAGGCAUCAUAUGCCCUGAUGCUCAUUCUCAAAACAUGUAUUUACCUAGUAGAUAAAAUAGCUCAAGUUUCAGAUAAAAGGUAAACAAGUC